UUCAGUUUCUGACAUAGCGC
rnacentral:misc_RNA from 1 species